UCUCAUUCUAUCAUUAAUCAUCGUUCCUUCUCAUUCAAAACCCUAAUCUCUCUCUCUCUCUAUGGCGAACAGGGCAAUUCAAUCAACCUUCAUCGGAGCUUAGGGUUUUCAAAUCUUCGUCUCAAAGAUGACUCACACAUCAUCGUGAAGCAAUUCUAAGCCGAUCCAUCUUCCUGAACGUCUUUAGGGUUUACAACCCUUUUCUCUCCAAGGGAUCAGUGAUACCAGUAGGUCAAUCAAGAUUGGUUCCGCUUCGAACCCGACGACAGAGAUGAUCAGAGGUUUCCGGGUAAUGGAUUUGUACUUACCCAACAUGGUGUAAGCAUAUGUCUAAAGAGGUUGAUGUUACUUUGACGAGAGAGAGGUUUGUUUUUCAGCCUAAUGAUCCAUCAUUAUCUGUUAAGCUUAAUGUGGAGUUUAGAUUAAUAAAAGGUAAGUUAAAUUAUCUCAUGAUUGUGAUCAUUACACUACAUUACAUUUAUUAUUACAUUUAUUGAUGCAUUUUAUUCUGGUUGAAUAUAGAUGUUGAGUGUAUUAUAUUUGUUCUUUUUUUGUUUUGUUAUUAUGGACAUAAAUCGAGUAAGGAGGGUGCGAACAGGCCUGCUUUACUUAAUCUUACUCAAGAUCAGGGUAAUAAUAUAUUCGAGUUCAAGAAUUUCUCAGAUAGGGAGAUUUGCAGGGACUUUGUAGGUUGGUGACCAAGAUGAACAGCUGGCAGAAGGUAUCAAGCUUUAUGCUAUACCAACCACCUCAACUACAAAGCGGUCAAUGCUUGAUUUGCUUUCAGCUCUAAACUCUUUGUAUGACCUUCCUCCUAUGCUUCAAUUGUCGCCAUCUUUCUCUUCAGCAGAUACAUUUUAUAACACCGUUUCAACAAUUUUAAUCUCAAGUACAACCCUUGUGGAUAGAGUCGACUCAUAGAGAUCUUCUUAAAGCAAGACAAUUUGAUUCAAGGUCGUUUCUUGGGAGAAUUAACGAAGCAAGUUUUAUCCGAUCUUGUGAUUUCAGUUCGUUUCCUCUCACAACUCCGUCAACGAAGCACCAUCAAAUUACCUGCGAUCGUCUUCAUUGUCAUUCAGGUCCGAUUAUCUAAUCGCAGAAACCCUAGGUUCCGUUUCCUUAAUUUUGUUCUUGUCUUCGUACUAAUCGGUUUUAUUAUUUGUGUUUUGGGUGAAAUGAAUUUGUAUAUAAGUGUAAAUCUGUUUGAUCAUUAUCUUACGUUAGUAGAUUGUGUUUAUCUGAAGCUUUUACGUGUGUAUGAAGUGACAAAUGGCUUAUAUUUGAUGAUCGUUUGUUGCGAUGAA